rnacentral:lncRNA from 1 species
GCUCGGCUCGUGCUCCAUCGACUAUUGAGUAGCGGUCCUCUGACCGGACGAGCUCGGCUCGUGCUCCAUCAAUUAUUGAGCAGCGGUCCUCUCUGACCGGACGAGCUCGGCUCGUGCUCCAUCGACUAUUGGGUAGCGGUCCUCUGACCGGACGAGCUCGGCUCGUGCUCCCACCCCGACCUCGGCCGGGAUGCCCCGAUACGUUGGGAUGUUGUCUUUAUUGGCCAAGCGAGCUCGGCUCACUCUUUACCGGCUUCAGCCAACGAGCUCGGCCCGCUAUUCCAUUUCUGGAUUUCUCUGCCGACGUCCUCGAAGAACGGAGUCCGAGCAGAGAAGCGUCCUCAGUCGCCUUGGCGCAAGGACGCAUACGGUACAAGGUACCCAUUCUGCUUCUGGAUUUCUCUGCCGACGUCCUCGAAGAACGAAGUCCGAGCAGAGAAGCGUCUUCAGUCGCCUUGGCGCAAGGACGCAUACGGUACAAGGUACCCAUUCUGCUUCUGGAUUUC